AAAAAGCCGAGCCCGAGUGAUAAUACAGGGCGACAUAUGUGGCGUGGGUUAACUUCGGGGAGCCAAUGAUGCCUUCCUUGGAACCUCCAGACCAUCCGGAAGCAGGCGGCAAGUGGCUGUGAGUCCAGUGAGUGCUUCCUCCGAUUAUGCUUGGAGAGACCUUCCUUCGCUUGGGACUCCGGGAAUGCUCCUUCAAGGCUCGCUCGCUAAUCGCCCAUGUUUAUUGGCUAGCCUUUGUUUUCCCCCUUCUCAGAUAGGAAACUCAUUAAAACACAUGCAUAAACAAUCAGCCUUUCUCCCAGACUUGAAAGGAUCCCUCGGGAGCGGUGAUAUUUGGGAGCGGCCGGGGUUGAGCUCCUGUGGACAGCGCCGCGCACUGAGCUCGAGAGUACUAAGGCCGGUUUCUGAGACCGCGGCAGCCUUACAUUUGGGGAGUCCCAGCUCAAUGGGAGAUCUCCAUUGGGUCGUUUUUCAUAGAGCCAUAAUCACAGAAGAGUUCACAGAUGCCAUAAUCUGCUGCCUUGGGAAGAAAGUGAUUCACAGAGACAUUAAACUCAUGGGACUUUGAGGAGAGCUCAAGACUGCUGACUUCAUCUGAUCUGCCCGUGCCCCCUCCAUUUGGAGGAAGACAGUGAAUGGAACCCUAGAAUGCCUUCCACCUGAGAUGAUUGAAAGACAUAGACAUGACGAGAAGAUAGAUCUGGGGCUCAUUUGAAUGCUGUGCUAUGAAAUGCCAGUGGGAAAUCCUCCUUUUGAAAACUCCUCUCACAGUGAAGUCUAUAGACAAAUCACUAAAGUAGACCUGAAAUUCCCUUCAUUUUUGUCUUUUGGAGCCCAGGACCUGCUCCAGGAGGUCCUCAAAGAGGGACUUCCCCUUACUCAGAUGGUAAAACACCACUAGAUGCAAGCCCAUUCCUGGAGAGUGAUACUACCUUGUUUCCCAGCCCUUCCCACAUAUUUUAUGUACAGAUUCAUGUGUGUUUUGUAUGUUGAAAGGAAAUGAAAUGAGAGGAUAGAUCCUUGAUUCCCCCCCCAUCAUUUAUUUCCUCUAACCUUGGAGAUUAAUAAAAACUUAAAU
rnacentral:lncRNA from 1 species